rnacentral:rRNA from 1 species
GAUGAACGCUAGCUACAGGCUUAACACAUGCAAGUCGAGGGGCAUCAUGGCGGUCGCUUGCGACCGCUGAUGGCGACCGGCGCACGGGUGCGUAACGCGUAUCGAACCUGCCGCAUACCCGGGGAUAGCCUUGCGAAAGCAAGAUUAAUACCCGAUGUUCUCACUGUUCCGCAUGUUACGGUGAGCAAAGAAUUUCGGUAUGCGAUGGCGAUGCGUCCCAUUAGCUAGUUGGCGGGGUAACGGCCCACCAAGGCUCCGAUGGGUAGGGGUUCUGAGAGGAAGGUCCCCCACACUGGAACUGAGACACGGUCCAG